GUUCCCACUUCAUCUCAUCAGCUCUGCAGCUGGCUGGCCUUCCUCAGUUCAUAUACCGGCCCAGUUCUGUUCAUUCUCUGCCAUACAAAGUUGCCAUGUUCCUUCAUGCCUCUGCUUUUGAGCCACCAGAACCUGGCCCUAACUUGGACCCAGAACCAGCCUGCCUAUCUCUGUACCUACCAGUCAGGUCUUGUGGACAGAGUGAGGACCACUUUUGAAGGUCCAUUCCUGUCGAUGACGAGCCUCCCAGCCUGAAUCUAACUGGAACGCAGACGUGACUCAUCGAAUAACCAUCCUGAUGGCAGCAAAUAACGAUGAUUCCAAUCUUUUACGCAACCGACUGACAUGUGAAAAUAAUAAUUUGAUGUGACCUUCUAAGAAGAAUGCAUGUUUUGAACAACAGGAAUCAGUAACAUGCUGGGCUGUGGUGUGUGUGUGAAAAGCGGAAGGACAGAACAGAAGUGGUGGCGUGGAGGUGAAGAGAG